AUAUAAAAUAUAAAUAAAAUAUAAAAUAGGACUAUAACAGAGACUAUUGGCAUGGCCCCUGCACAAGGAUGACGCUCAAAUUUCGUGAAGUGUUGCAUAUUUUU